GGUCAGCUGACACAUCCCGGCCAAUCUCCAGCAGACCCUCCCUUUCAGACCUUCCCACCUCCUGGACAGCAUCCAUGUUGAAGCUGCCUUCAACAUGGAUGCUGUCCAGGAGGUGGGAGGGUCUUGGAGGGAGGGUCUCCUGGAGAUUGGCCGGGAUGUGUCAGCUG
rnacentral:miRNA from 1 species